GACGAACGCUGGCGGCGUGCCUAAUACAUGCAAGUAGAACGCACAGUUUAUACCGUAGCUUGCUACACCAUAAACUGUGAGUUGCGAACGGGUGAGUAACGCGUAGGUAACCUGCCUGGUAGCGGGGGAUAACUAUUGGAAACGAUAGCUAAUACCGCAUAAUAUUGAUUAUUGCAUGAUAAUUGAUUGAAAGAUGCUAUUGCAUCACUACCAGAUGGACCUGCGUUGUAUUAGCUAGUAGGUGAGGUAACGGCUCACCUAGGCGACGAUACGUAGCCGACCUGAGAGGGUGAUCGGCCACACUGGGACUGGGACACGGCCCAGACUCCUACGGGAGGCAGCAGUAGGGAAUCUUCGGCAAUGGACGAAAGUCUGACCGAGCAACGCCGCGUGAGUGAAGAAGGUUUUCGGAUCGUAAAGCUCUGUUGUAAGAGAAGAACGGGUGUGAGAGUGGAAAGUUCACACUGUGACGGUAUCUUACCAGAAAGGGACGGCUAACUACGUG
rnacentral:rRNA from 1 species